CGGGAACCCGGCCCGGCCGUACCCCGCCGGCCUGCCGACCCGGGUCCGGGGGCCCAGUUGGCGCCCGGACCAGCUCUCCGGUCUGCGUCCUGUAGAUGGGAAAACUGAGGCCUGAGAGGGCGCGAGGGCGGGGACGAGGCCGAGGACUCGGGUUCGAAUCUCGAGGACGCCAGUAGCCCGCUCUGAGGCCGCGUGGGGCUGGUGGAGGAGCCACCGGUCGGGCCCCCAAGACCGGCUGACGUGGGCCUCGCCUCGGGCGACUCCCGCCGGGCUAGUGGCUGGCCGUGUGGUGACCUUGGGCGAGUUACUUCGCACAGCCACCCAGGGGCCUCUUCUCCAACACGAUAGCACUGCACCCGGAGGGCCUUCAGACCUGAGCUGAAAUCUACACCACCGGCUCUCUGACUAUCAGGCUUUGGACUAUACUUUGGGCUUUCCUGGGUCUCUUACCUGGCAGACAGCAGAUUUUGGAACUUUUCAGCCUCCAUAAUCAUGCAUGGAAUUCAAAUCGCGGAGUGACAGGCUGUGUGUGGGGCUGAUUGUCUGGGUCAGAGACAUCACAACUGGCUGGUGAGGAGAGCUUUCUGACAACAGGAGCUGUCCAACAAGGAGUGGGCUGCUGUCACCGAGGAGCUGAAGCGGCCGACGGCUGACCUUCCACUGGGCACUAGGCAGGGCCUGGAUGGAGGGAGUCUUAAAGUAGGAGGGAGAAGCCAAGGAAAUAGCUCUCUAGAAGCAUUUUGUACACUGAAAAGUGUCAUUGAAACGCUGUCACAGUUCUAAGAGGAGACAUUGCUCCUCUGAAAACCAGCCUCACUCCCUAAGCUGAUGUAUUUCCAGAAGCAGGGCCUGAGCUGCCACAUGCAGGCCCUGAGGACUUGAGGCACAUCGUUCUUUUUUUGGGUCUCAUCUGUGAAUCAGCCACUCAAACCUAGUGGCUCUCAGCCUGCAAGUUCAUUCAUGCAAUGCAGGGCUUCUCCACUGCUCCCCCAAACCUCCUCAGGCCACCCCUGCGUGUGCACCCACCGAUAUGGCCUGUUCUGAACAGGUGACCCUCAGCUGCCAGCAUCACUGCCCUUCAAAACCUGACUUAUCUCUCGUGUUUUACAGUUACCAUAGCAGAAAGAUUUAUCUUCAUCUUUUACCAUUUAAAAAUACUAAUGGAAUUACUGUUUUUGUCUGUUUCUGUUUUGAAGCCAUACGAUUUUUCUCUCACUGCCACCACAUUUGUGAUGGCCUUAAAAAUUAUUCUUAAAGAUAAAUAUAAUUCUAGAAAAACCUUCUCAGGGAAAAAUGGGUAUUUGUUUCCAACUGUUGUGGGGCUGAAAAACUUUUAUAGCAUGCUUGGUGGCAUAUAUGGGAUUCUAAGGGCCUUUCAGCACCAACCUUCCUUCCUGGUCCCAGCAGGUGAAGGCAGGGCCCUCCCAGGCCAGUGCACCUGUCACAGCCCUUGGCUGGCUCGAGGAAGGAAGGGACUUCACAUCUAUUGAAUGUUGUGUGCUUCACAAGGGCUGUCUCCUUUCAUCUGCACAGCAACUCAUUGUACAGAUGAGGAAUUUGGGCCCGGAGAGGUGAGGUGACCCACCCAAAGUCACACAGCCAGGAAGAAGCAGAGUGCACUUCCCUCUCAAUCACACUCUCCAAAUCCUCCAGUUGGUUCCUGUUCAGCCUUCUGAACAGGGUGGAUUUUUGCUUAAGACUUUCUAUAUGGAUUAUAACCCUUAAAUUAUGAUAUUUUGUCAUAACUAUUUUAGCUUUCAUCUGUGUGGUACUUAACAUUUUAGCAUAACUUUUUGACUAUAAGAAAAGUACACGAUCUAUUUUUUGUAACUUUUUUGGGGGGUGACUUUUAGUUUAAAAUUAUUAUAAGUUCACAAGAGGUUGCAAAAAUGGUAUACAGAGAGGUCCCAUGACAUUCACUCAGUUUCCCCCAAUGGUACCAUAUCAAAAUCAGGAAAGUGACAUUGGUAACUUGUGUGUGUAUAGUUCAUUGUCAUUUUAUCCCAUGGAUAGAUUCAUGUAACCACACUGCAAUCAAGAUAUAGAACUGUUCCAUCACCACAAAGGUUUUCUUCAUGUUACCCUUUUUAAUCAUAGCCACCCCCUUCCCUCUCACCAUCCCUAACCCCUGGCAACCACUAAUCUGCUCCCCAUUUCUACAAUUCUGUCAUUCCUAGAAUGUCAUAUACAUGGACUCAUACUGUAUGUAACCUUUUGAGACUGAUGUUUUUCACUCAGCGUAAUGCCCUUGAGAUCCAUCCAAGGUGUCCUGUGUAUCCAUAGUUCAUUCUUUUUUAUUGUUAAGUAGUAUUCCAUGGGUGAUCUGUUUUUUGAACACUUGGAAACACAGAGAAUAUUUUUUAAAAAUAGAAAAAAAUCAAAACAAACUCAAACCUCCAGUUAGGAGGAGGGAAGUCUCCUGGUUUCCUUCUUGCUCAUGUCCGAAGUGGCUUAGGCCCUGGGCUGACACUUUGAAGACCCAGGUGCAAAGACAGGAGAGAAAGACAGGGAGAAGACAAAGCCAUUUGCCCCAAGCCUCUCUGCUCCCAAUCUUCUCCUCGGUGGGACUCCAUCUGGCUGCUGCGGACUCUCUGUUUGCAUCUGUCUCUUUCCGUUUUUCCCCUCUCUUUCUCCUCACCCUGUGUGUCUCCAUCUGUCUCUCUGAGUCAGUCUCUCUCUUUCUCAAACCACAAAACAUGGCUAAAUGCAAUUUCCAUUGAGUGCAGAAUCUUGUGUCUGUGCUUCAUUAUUCUGUCUGGAUUGGUACAUGUUUUCAAUUGCAUAAUUCCCCUCCUUCCUCAUUUUCUCCCCAAGACUUUCUCCCACAUAAUAUGAGCAUUUGGGGGCCAGCUUUUGACAGUUCUGCUUUUGAAUGCUGUGAAAAGUAGAGCGAGUGCCUUUUUCAGUCCUGCACCACCAGGGAAGCGAGGUUGGCAAGUUCCCCCAGGGUUCCUGCCGAGCUUUGUCCCUUAGGCCAGUCUUUGGGAGGAGUGUCCCUCUGCCAGCAUUCUCAAAGCCAAGGCUCUCCCUGCAACACCUGCCUUGGGGGAGGGUUCAAAGAGCAUUUUGAUGGCCUGCUCAAGACCUUCCACCCACAUGGGUGACCACGGCAUCAGAUCCAAACUUCCCUCUCUGGCUGUUCACACCCUUAAACAUCUGGACUGACCCUAUUCAUUUAUUUCUUCAUUUUUAUGUAACUGGGCAGUAUAACUUCUUGCCCUAACAGCCAUUGCAGUUUUGAAAUGGGGUUAAUAGAAAGUGAUCUAAAUAUUCAACAAGAAGAGAAUGAUUAAAUGUAUUAUAGGAUGUCCCACAUGACCAGACAUUACAAAAUCAUUAGAAAUCAUGGUUUGGACAGUUUUCAGAGUGGGAAAAUACUCAUGAUAUAUGGUACUGUUAGAACCCUGAUGAUAUAAAAAUACAUAGGCAUUGAAAAAUGGCUUAGAGAAAAGGACCAAAGUGUUAGCUCUUAUUUUUGAAUAGUGGGAUUGCAGAUGACUUUUUAAAUUUUUCUUAAUGUUCACAAUAAGCAUGUUUUAUCUUUAUAAUCAGAAAACAAAU
rnacentral:lncRNA from 1 species